UUGCUUUCACAGCAGUGCCAACAAAUCCAUAGAGAUUGAGCAUCACUUGUAUGAAUUUGGGUAUGUGGAAUACCAUGUCCAGGUAAACAACUAAAUAUUCAUAAAAUGAAGAAUUAAAUUCAGUUUACCCCCUUGUGGUUUAGGGGUGACUUCAUGUUAGUCCCUACACUUUUAUUUUCAUCAGUUUACCCCUUGAACUCUUCAAUUUCUAUCUGCCGUGCCUAAAUUCUCAUAUUCCGUUUGAAUUGACCGUUAAUUAUCAGCAGUUAAUGUUCGAUUUGGACAGAUAAUAUCCAAUUUGCCCAAAUUCUAGAUACGGGCCUCACAGUUAAGGUUAAAAUUAUCAGCAGUUAACAUCUGAUUUAGACAGAAUAUAGGACAUUGGUCAUGCUUGAGGAAAAUUCAAAAGUUUGAGAGGUAAACUGAUGAAAUUGAAAGUAUAGGGAUUAACAUGAAGUUACUUCCAAACCUCAUGGGGGUAAACUGAAUUUAAUUCUAAAAUGAAUGUGGAUCUAUGCGUUUACUUUUCACCGUUCAUCUCUGCUUCCUUAUUGUUUUUUUUUUUUUUUUUGUUUGAGAAUGAUUAAUUCAUUAAAGGCAAAGCCUAGCAAAGAGCCUAAAAAGCAGGCCCAAGCAAACUACAAAUAGACCAGAUAAGACACUUCCACUAAAACCUGGGGAGAUAGCAAACGAAAGUGCCUAAUAACAGAAAGAAAACAACAAAUUCACUGCAAAACUAAACAGUCGCCGACGGAGGACACGGCAAGCCAUCAUUGCGCAGAACAAAAACAUGGAAAGAGGUGGCUCUUCAGCCCAUUGCAGAGAAUCCUCAGUCCGCCUGGCAAGCAUAGCUGCAUGGUGGGCAGCUUGAUUUGUCGAUCUUGGAGUCCAGUUCCAAGUACAUCGAUCAAACAUCAGACUUUGUCUUCUUAUUGUCUCCAAUGUUAGGUAAGUCCUCCAACUUCUCACAGAUGAACUCAAAAGAUCUGAGAUUAAUUUUUUGGAAUCUGAUUCAACAAUAAUCUGUUUUAGGUUCAAAGAAAUUGCUAGCUCCACUCCUCUAAGGAUGGCCUCGACUUCGGCGCCUUCAACGGAAGGGAUGACUGCAGCUUCAGCCAAUCCUCUGAUUACCCUUCCGCUGGAGUCUCUGAUGAUCACCCCUAAUCUAGCCGAUGAAGGAGGUAACCAGGCCGCAUCACUAUUCACCUUUACCCAUCCCACCGGCGGCGGCGACCAAGUAGUGGGGAUAGUUUCGAGUGGGUUUUAAUUUGUUAUAAACCAUCUAUGCUUCCUUGUAGCCAAACACUUUCAAUAGCUUUAAAUCUUAUAAUCAUUGGAUCUCCUAUCAAGCGUCAACAUCAUAACAUUCAAUAGCCAACUUCUUUGUUUAGGGAUUUUCUUCUACCCUUUUGUGAAUAAAAUCUCCCUAAACUCUUAGCAAUGUGUUUGGAUGCGAGUGAAUUCCAGGAUUGUUUCCCUCGUUUGGAUUCUUAUUUAAUAGAAUUAGCAAUUUCUACGGGAAAAUAAUCGUGAAAUUUGGAAGUUUAAAUUCCCGAUUUGAAUUCCUUACAAAAUAUGUGUCAUUUGUCAAUUUCCUUGACUGAGGUUAGUCUACAUAUAAAUUCUUGUCAUUUUAAAACUCUACAUCAUAAAAUCCAAACAACGGAAUUUUCAAUUAAUGGAAUUUAAAUUCAUGAAAUUGUAAUUCUUAUGAUUUUGAAAUUAUUUUAUCCAAACACAACGUAGGGGGAAAACUAUAAAAUCCAAACAACGGAAUUUUCAAUUAAUGGAAUUUAAAUUCAUGAAAUUGUAAUUCUUAUGAUUUUGAAAUUAUUUUAUCCAAACACAACGUAGGGGGAAAACUAAGGAAUGCGGCUAUUGGGACCUCCAAAUUUGCUCACCAGACCUCACUCUAUUGUGAAAUUAUUAAAAUGACAUAUGCAUCCUCAUACACAAUGACUAUUAAGGACAAUAAUUAUACAAAAGAAAAUAUUAUAUUUAUUCUCUUUGGACUUUCCAAUUCAAUAAUAAUUUAUUCCAUUCUUUAUUAUUUUCCUUAUAUAUUUUUGUUUUCCAAUUUCUUUUUAUUAAAGCAUACAUAUAGUUUAUAAUCAAUAUCGAUCAUGUGACAUAAAACUUUGUAUUAUCAUACAUGUUGAACGCUUAUACUUGCAAGGUGCAUAAAUUUGUUUAUAUGAAAAAAAUUAAUAUAUAGCUAUUAUAGAAAAUAUAUAUUUAUUGAAAUAAUUUAUUAUGAGGUACAAAAUAGAGAUCAAAUUAUUCAAAAGAAAAAAAAUGGAGAAAAAAUAACAUGUACAAAAGAGAAAAAAAUUAAAAAGAUAUAUAGAAUAGUUCAUGAUAGAAUAUUUUCUUGCAUGAAAAAAAUAUAAAAAAAUAAAGAUAGGGAUGAUGGAUAUUGAAAGAAAAAAAAAAAAAAAAAAAACUAAAACAAAGAAUGAGAGGUCUAUUAAGUGAAUAAGAGGUAAUUAAUUGAUUGAAAUAUAUGUCACUACAUAACUAAGGUUAUUUUAAAAAUUUGAAAUGAGGUAUACUGAGCAAAUGCUUAUAUUGAAAAGUAAAAAUGAGGUGUAGAAAGAAUGAGAGAUAUAGUGAGCAAAUUUAGAGGUCCUAAUAGCCACACUCAAAACUAAGGUAGCGUUUGGUAACGUUUUCAUACUUAAGUUUUCAUUCAACUUUUGAGGAAAUAAUAAAUAAUAAAAAAAAAUAGUGAGGGUUUGCCAAACAAAUCUUGAAACAUUGGUGCCGAAACCUAACGAUUUUUUAUAUGACCCGAGUUUAGGAGAGUUUUGGUUUUGUAAAUCAAAGAGUGAUCGAAAUCAGUUUGACAAAACCACUUCAAGCAAUCUAUUCAACAUCAUAUUGUCCAAAUUAAACUUGUUAUGAUCGACACUGUUGCUUUUAUAACAGUACUGAUCAUGAUCAUUAUCACUAGUACCUAGUCAAUCUCUAUGCUUUCAGUGUUCAUUUUCUACUUCUGUAUCACCCAAAGUUUUCGACAGAAAGCAUCAAGAAAUUGGUUUAUCAUGCAUUCUCGGAUACCAAUCACCCAAAAAGGUAAUUUAAUCGUAUGAAACAAAGUAUUUAAGGAAGAACUACAUAUUGUAGAGGGAAUUUGUUAUGAUGUUCUGGUGAUCUAAUUAUGCCCUGCAGAGAGGGUUCAAAUUAUUCCCAUCUGUCAGUUCUUCUAAUGAUAGUACUCAACAUUAGAUAGAAUCAUAAAAUGCGCGCAGCCGCUAUCAUUUGAAUCCGGCCAUCUGUAUUUUUAUUUAAACUUGAAAUUCUUACUUGUACAAUAGUCUAAUCAGGCAAUUCUAGUUAAGCUACUAGUGUAAACUGAAUCAGCAGAUUUGAAAGCACAUGCACAAACAAUUGGAGACAAUUUGCACCUCACUGACCUCAGAAUAACCCCAGCAAUGGUUAGUGAUCAUAUCAAUUUCAGAGUGCAGGACCUUCAAUUUGAUAAUGAAGGGGAAGCCCUUGUAUGGACUUUUGAAGGUGCAAGCAUUACCAGGACGUGAAAAAGGAUCAUUAAGAAUGAUAAGGAACAUCCAUAUAUGUAAAAAUAAUGCAUAACACAGUUAACACAAAGAAACAUCCAUAGAAAGCAAAGUUAACAACACAUCCGCAACCAAACACAGUUAAUGACACAGUCAUGGUUUGGCAUGGAUUACAUAAGCAGCACAAUGUAAUAAAUAAUCUCCAUUUAUUUGUUUGUUUUUUUUUUGGUUUUUUGUUUUUUUUUUGGGUUCAGCCGAACAAGCAAUCUAUAGUAUGUUUAUCAAAUGGAGAUUUACAAACACACACUUAAAUGAAGCCUCAUUUGAUUUGAGUCUCAGUCGUCCGGCAGCUCAUAGUGAAGAUUCGAUCACUGAUAUGCUGAAGGGAAGCCCUUGUAUGGAUUGUUAUAUGUGAGAGCAUUACCAGGACGUGAAAACACAAUCUGCAUCAAAAUAAUCACUUAUAUUGGGUGCUGUGUUGCAAGUAUGACCAAAUAAGCACACAUAAAACUUAUAAAUCAUAAGUGUAUAUUAUCCAACAAUGGAAGUGUGGAAAAUAUGUGUUCUGUAAAAGUUACCUGGUAAUCUCCAACUAUAUGUGACUUGAAACCAGCAGCACAGUAAUCAAAAUAAUAUUCCCAGGUCCGAAUGAAAUUUUCAUUGAAUCCAAGAGCGAGUAUUUCACUAUAAAUACAAAAGAGAAAUUGCAUUUUAUAAAGAACUGUAGCAGUCAUAAAUAUGAGAGUCUAUUCUGUUCCAUUCAAAACUAAUGGAUGCACCUUUUUUUUCUGAUAGGGCAUGCAAUCUGUUAGAAAGACAGUAGUAAUCAGUAAGGUUUUUUUUUUUUUUUUUU
rnacentral:lncRNA from 1 species